GGAGGAGCAACUCACCCAGUGAUAAGAGAUAGGCGGAUGAUGGGCAUGAGUUACAAACUAGCUAUCUGAACAUUGCAUGAAAAAAUAAGUCCAGACUCUUUUUACCAGCUGUGUGCUGCUUCGCGUUUGUAUAUGCUGAAAGCCUGAAACGCCCUGAAUUACAGUGUGAUACCAAGAUAUGUAUAGUUGGCUGGUAUUACUGUUACUGCAUUGGUGCCAACAUGCAACUCGUUGCAUAGCGUCCUCGGGGGGGGGGGGGGGGGGGGGGGGGGGGGGGGGGGUUGGGAGAGACGAGUUCUGCUGUUCUGGUCUCGCUACAGCACAGCAGGACUCCGUGUAUACAGUACAUGGCGAACUAGAACUGUAGUGUACAGCAUCGAUCGCCGCUCGGCAUGCACUGUCCGGCGUCUGCAGUCUGCAGCCUGCAGGCCUCGCCGGGCAGCUACGCGUACGCUGUACGCACGCAAGCAGCGGAGAGCCGUGCGCCGAAGUAACAGCCGAAGAAUGCAGCGGCGGGGCCGGGCCCGGAGGAAAAAGGCGUAUGGCCUCGCCGCGCGCACGCUGCCGCUGCAGCCAAGGAAGCUGAGCUGCCGGCUGCGUACUGGCUCCUGCAUGCUCCUCCCUGACGAGUCGCCAGCGAUCAACGACCGGACCCCUACCGGUUUUACGGCUUCCGAGGGUCACGACCGAGGGGGCACGGCAGCGGCCGGCGGCGUCUCCGAUGUACGGCGGGGGAAUCAGUGACCAAUCGUUCAGUGGCAUGGAAAUCUGAGCUAUCAGGUACGCGAUUGCUGUGCACUUGUAAUCCAUCAGUCCAUCCACCAAGAAGAAAACGCCAACUUAAUUUGUAUAGCCCGCAAUGAGCAUAAUAACAUUCUCACAGAGGUAACAAACGGAGAAAAUAUCGAUAUAUUUUCUUACUAACAGAAAAAAUAUCAUCUGUACUCUCUAGUCUCUAGUCAUGAACAUGAAACUAACGAAAUAGGUAUGCAAAGUCUUCAGAAUGCAUGUUGAUUCAGGGAUCCUAAUUACUAGUUUACCACCACGUCCCAAGCUGCUCAGGAUCUUCAUUCGGCUAUUAGCUACUAUUCUUUCUCAUCUUGGGCGGUGGGCGCCUUGCAGUUGCAAUCUCGCACAACGCAAAGAACAAGAAGAAGACAAAGGAGGGUCCGUACGCGUUUCAGAGAACAGAAACUACUCCACGUCAAUCAUCUGAAUCCAGUAGGAUAAAUCUGCAGCUCCCUCCAAGAUGCAUGUACGAUAAAUCUGGCUACCUGUUGUCACAGAAGCUUAAAGAAAUUCACAGGAACAAGCGCACCGUCAAGAACGAGGGUGAUUGGUGAUUCAGAAACGGGAAAGCACAGACCGUACCAUAACCAAACUGAAGAACAGAGUAGAGAACUAGCCGGAUCACACCAUCUGAGGGUCCUGCACGAGAAAACGAGGCCAUCUCAAUUCUCAUGUAGCCAAAUCGAAGAACCUGCCAGUCACAUAGCCUGGCUACCUGUCACAGAAGCUUGAAGAAAUUCAAAGGAGCAAGCGCAUCGUCAAGAACACAAGUGAUUCGCGAUUCAGAAACGGGAAAGCACACACAUACCGAUGUACCAUCAACUUUACUGAAGAAUUAACAAACAAUAAUGCAUGAACUGGCCGGAUCACACCAUCUGAGAUCCUGCAUGAGAAAACGAGGCUAUCAUGUAGCCAGCGAGAAGAACCUGCCGGUCGGUGUCUCACGGUUAACGUUUCACGGCGAGAGACAGUGGCCGGCAAGUCAUCCUUGGCUACACAACAAAACACAACCUCCUCCCCACAUGCAAGUCCUCAGAUGAUCAUACAUUGCCACAAGCUGAAGAUGCCUAGAAAAUGGUGAAACGGUUGUGUAGAAAGAGGAGGGGCAGCAUCAGGGAGGAGGAAGAAGAAAGAGAGAACUGCGAAGCUCCCGCUGGGUAACAUGUGAAGUGAAGCUGCUUCGAUCAGCUAGCGAUAGACGCUUGCAAACAAAGCUGGCUGUAUAUAUACAUGUGGAGUUAGUCUGAAGGAGUAGAUCAAUCUCUGGGUUUACAUUGAGUUCGCAUGGGGGGUGGGGGGGUUGAGGAAGGUUGGUGAUCGCCUAUAAAGAAAGUGCGUGUAAAGCGAGGUGUGGCGCUGACGAGAUGUGUAAGAGUGUUGGCCUGUUGGGUGCAUGCGGCGCCUGCCCGGCCUGCAUGGAUUUGACGCUGCGGCACUGACGGGUCUACCACGAGCCCUAGGCUGCCCCUUCAUUGCAUUUCCCUUUCUUGUCUCUGUGAGAGAUCGAUGCACCGUUCCCUGCUUCUACAACAACGAGGGUCGAGGGGGACGACGUCUCUGUUGUCUAGGCCUCCUUUUUAUUUCAGGUUCAUGCAUGUGAAGCUGUCUCGUUCCGCUGCCGCCUCGUCACAAUCAGAUUAAGAGUCGAGACGUCGAAAUUCAGCUAACGAAGAAUAUGCACAUAAGUUUGCUAUCCUAAUUUCUGCCAUUUAGAGAGUGUUUGCCAGCUGAACAUUUUAAGACCGGCCGAAAUGGAGCAGAGAUCAUUCUUAUGUACGUGCUAGUACGGUGAAUAAAAAAUGUUAUAGCUGUAAAAAAGAUGAACUGGUGAGUGAUGAAGUGAAUGCAGAGCGUUUUGGUACUUGUCCUGCGCAAGAAUCAUCUCGGAUCCAUCCAAGCAACUUUUCACCCCACAGGUACGCGAGUACAAGCCCAAGUUUCACAUCGCCAGGACGCCCAGCGGCACAAAGGACUCGCGAGGCAGUAACCCUGUAAAAUCCGAGGGCACGGACACGACGAACGAAAUGAGGGCCCAUCCAAUUGAAGCUCGAAAGGCCAGCGUGAACAGUGCGGCAGUCCUGCUUGCCAAGCCGACACGUGUCACGUCAUGUUCGGCAACAGACAGGCUACGAUCGGCACCGUGGAUCAGUAGCUCUCUGCAGGGCACUGUGCCGGCCCUGUCGCCGCGGACGCCUUUUGCUUUUUUCCCCUGUCAGGUUUUGAUGAAACAGUACGAGAAAUAUGGCACUGCGCCAGCAGUGUGUAAGGCCAAAGCUCCAGCACAAGCCAAUUGUUGCAGGAUUAAUGCACCUGCAGUACAGUACGCACUUCGACAUAGUAGUAGCUUGCAAGGUUCAUGUGCAGGCAAAGCUAAAGGUUUAACUGCAUUUAUAUUACUCCCUUUCUCUAAACAUGAAGAGAUAUACCAAUGAAAUUCAGCAAAAAGAUGUGAUUUCUUUGCUACAAAAAUUGCUAAUGCACUGCAGAACCACCACGCAUCUCAUCAGCAAAGCUUCACUGUACUGCAGGUGAACUGCGGAUAGUCAAUUAGUAUGAUUUCAGACUUGACAAUGUAUAGAACAGUUAGCAACGUACAGUAGACAGUAGGGUCUUUUUUCUCUGAAUUAGUCAUGUCAUAGCAGACAGGAGUACAACGCUAGGGCAUGGCGCCAUGAGCUAGCAAAUAGAAAACGGCGCGGCCGCGCUCAGGGAUCAGGAUAUCCUUGUGAAAUGCACAAAGAAAGAACAGGCACACACGGCUUUGGCAACCUGCAAAAGCUUUCAGACACUGCUACCAGAGCUCCGGAACUGAAAACUGUCACUCGCGUACGCUCCACACAGGCAUAGAGCAGGGAUUAAAGCUGUCAUGCGUCAAGACUCAAGACACCGUCAUAACAAGUGAUUUGGUGGCAUUGUUCUGCAAAAUGUUGCUGCUUGUCAAGACUACCGGCUCCAAUCAUGCAACGAUCCACGCAUUUUAAUGCAGCGAAAAUGAGAAGCGACUGAAUACGCGGCUGUGAUAGUUCAGAGGCCCAACCGAUGAGUAGGUAGUCAAGUGGAUCCGGCCUGCCUGAUUCCUAAGCCGUAGACUAAUGGGCCGGGCCUACUGGAACAUGUUUCGACUUGUGGGCCCAUUGGCCUUCAUUCUGGCCUUCUUGGAACAGCAUGCCAUCGAAGUGAACGAAAAUACGCUUUCGGAUAAGCUUUACGCAUUUGCUCGCGCUCCGGAUUAGCCACGGAAGCGGAAGCGGAAGCGGAAGCGAGCGCGAGACGCCGACAUGCCGUGCCUUGUCGCACCCCCGCCGAUGGCCCGGCCCGGCCGGCGGCGGCCUUCGACUUCAGUACAUCGCCGCGGCCGCACUCUCGCCGCCCUCCCUUACCGCUGCCGCUGCGGCCGGCGGCACCUCAUCGGUGCCUCCUCUGCUGCCGCCCUCCUCCCUCUCGUCGCCCCUCCCUCCCCGGCCGCGCCGCCCAUCGACCCCGAAGUGAGCUCCUUCGGUGCUCCUCGUUUACGUUGUCCUGUAAGUGUACUCGAUCUGAUUGCUCACUAUCGUUUCCUUGGUUUGUUGGGCAGGUGAUGCUCGAGAGAGUGCACCCGUCGAGGCCGGACUGGUACGAGGAGUUCUAUGCCACGGCCAUGGACCAGGGCAUGAAGUCAUACGAAUCAGAGGUAUACAGUUUUGGCUCUAACAAUCUAAUUACUAGUAUAAUUCGAAUUCUCCACUUACCUACCGAAUCAUGGGCUUUUCGCAAAUAAAAUAAAAAAAAUCCUGAAAAAAUGAAUCAUGUGCUCAAACCUGAACAAUUCCUUUUUCUGUAAAAAAAUGUGCUCAAACCUGAAGGCCAAGCUGUUAGCCUUGUGACGAUUAAGAACAGGUGUUCAUCCAUACCACCCUAUCUAGUCUCGGUAGAACAGAAUUUGCAAUCAUAAGCUUCACCGGAUUCAGUGCUGGCAACACAUAAUUCGACUGUUAAUCUGCCAUAUGUGACAUCUCUGUGGCCAACUACCCAUUUCCUCUAAUUAUUUCUGUAGCUGGGUUUCAGUCUGGUACACAUAACAACUUAGCAUGGGAGUAACUCUCUUGCCAAUGCUUCUUAAUGCCCAUGAUUAAUUAUUCUUCGUUUGCUGCUUCAUAGAAUAAAAAUUCAUGAGUACUGGAAUAACAGUCUCAUAUUUAUGAUCUGUUAAAUAGAAUAUAUGAGAUUGUGUUUGCUUUUUCAAAAAAAUAAAAAUUGCAUCAGUGCUGAAAUAACGAUGCCAUAAUCAUGAUCCUGCUAAACGUUUCACUUGGUGAAGAUUGCAGAUCGCAGGAUAUAAAGCAAAGCUCUUUUCUCAAUUGUCGGCUACAGGAAAGAACAUUCUGGAGCUUGGUGUCGGAACGGGCCCUAACUUCAAAUAUUAUGCAAGCGACGAUGGGGUUAACGUAAUUGGGGUGGAUCCUAACAAGCACAUGGAGGAUUAUGCCAGAACAGCAGCAGUAUCUGCAGGACUUCCCCCAUCAAGCUUCACUUUCAAAAGAGGGGUAUGCUGCUGUCUGUUUGCAUCAUUUACCGUGUUUUCCUGUUUGUAUAAGAACUGCGCUUGAUGCACAGCUCUAUUUAGGUUGCUGAAGCUUUGCCAGCAGAGAACAGUUCCAUGGAUGUGGUGAUCGGCACACUGGUAUUGUGUUCUGUAAAUAACAUUGACAUGGCACUGAGAGGUAAUACUUGUUCUUCUUUAGCCUUUACAAUAAGGGCUAUUUUCUUCCAGAUGACCAUAGAUUAGAGACAUGCCAGCAUGUUGAAGUGAACAGCUGGUUAAAUCUCAUGACAUGCUAAAUUCCGUACAUGUCAAAUUGGCUACAAAUAGUACUAGCAAAGCAAUUCUUAGUUUCGUACCAGAUUUAGAAUAUUGUCGCACUAAAAAAUUUCUACAUCCUCAGACUACACAAUGCAACUAGGCAGAGACUAUAAGUAGGUCACUUAAAUUUCUACAUCCUCUAUUCUUGUCUUACUUUGAUUUCAGCGAUGUGGAAAUGAACAUAAAAUGAAUUGAUCCCUAGUAGAGGCUUCUGCUUACAACAUUGACUCUUGUUUCGUAGCUGAUUCUUCCUAGCACCUUGAGUCAGCCCUUGUAUUUCUGUCUGCAUUCUCCAGUUUCAUUUCACCAUCUGUUUUGUGCAGAAAUAUAUAGAGUCUUGAAGCCUGGCGGUCUGUAUCUGUUCGUUGAGCAUGUUGCUGCACCAGGUACUCCAGGUUCCACAAGGGGCAUCAAUGUUACCGCUAACUCAACACUAAUGAUCUUAAACUUUUAAUGCUUUAGUAAGUCACUGAUUGCCCUGCUCUUUCUGCAUUGCAGAUGGUUCCUUGCUCCGAUUUGUACAAGGUGCCUUCGAUCCGUUGCAGCAAUUCGUUGCUGACGGAUGCCAUCUCACCAGGAAAACUGGAGAAAACAUCAGAGAUGUGGGGUUCUCAAGCCUGAGCCUAGACAGUGUCCGACUCUCAAAUGCAUACAUCAUUAGCCCUCACGUUUAUGGCGUAGCCUCCAAGUGAAGUGUCCUGCUGUCUUUGAUAUAACUGUAAAUGAUGCAUCUUCCAUCUGUAAAGCUGCCUGUGAUAAUGCAAGGCGAGUGGCGCUGCCCGCUGCACUGAUUUUGUUGUCCUGUUGGUAUUGCCCUUGCUGGGCAUUGAUUGAACUGGACCUGGAAUGGGCUGGGCUUCUUUUGACGAAAGAGUGGAAGAGCUCAUGGGCUCAUCAAUCGAAUUUUUUUGGAUGUAAUGUGGGCCAUGCAAGUCCAUAAUUCGCAAAGUUGGGGCUUGUUUAGUUGGUCAAAUUUGGAGGUGCCAAAUUACUGUGCUGGCACAUUGUAACGUUUUAUUUGUAUUUGUGAAUUAUUGUCCAAACAUUGACUAAUUAGGCUCAAAAGAUUCGUCUCGCAAAGUACAACAAAACUGUGCAAUUAGUUUUUAAUUUCAUCUACAUUUAGUACUUCAUACAUGUACCGCAAGUUUGAUGUGAUGGGGAAUUUUCUUUUUGCAUAGUGCUAAAGUUGGGAAUUAGGGGUGAAGUAAACAAGGGUUUGGUCUCCUGCCCGUUUGGGUCUCCUCCCUUGCUGCGUUUGCAGCAGGUGUCGGGGUUUUAAAUGGCGUUAAAUGCAGAGAAAGGGGGGCAAGUCAGUACUGUCUUCGUGCGUGACCCAGCAUUCACUCCCUCGACGGGAGCCGGUGGCCGGCGACGGUGAGGGGGCCCUCCCUCCCUGCAAGGCUGCAUACGUCCUUUGCUCACCGUCAGACGCCGCAGGGCAGGACACUUGCACGUUUCGCUGCGUCGCGGAUGCGACACGUCUCGCAUCCCGUCGGCUUGGCGGCACUCCAUGUGCCUCGGAUACAGGCCUUGGACCGCGCCCGUGGAGCGUUCGUUGGGACGUGGCCUCGCGCCACGGGCUCCAUUCAAUACGCUUUUGCUUUGCUUGGGCAGGAGGGGUGCUGGUCACGGGUCCCCCUCCGGUUCCUGCAAAAGCCCGCAACAGCCUCUACUUCCGUAUUUUUCUUUCAAGAACAGAACUUGGCAACGCAUGAAUCUACCUUGAAAACGAUUUGCAUGCGGAGAUUUUAACUGUUUUACACGUUCUAAAGUCCAAACCCUAGGAAUCUGCUCCAAUUUUGUGGGCGGGUGCUGUUCGUCCGUGUGUUUUCGGCAGCAGAAUCUGGAGGAGAGGAGGCAUCUGCGUGCUUUGGACAAACUAUUUUCUGGAAUUCUGGGAAGAGGGAAGCAUGUGGGUCGUGUUCAUUGCUGGCCUGCUGCUUCUGGCAGACCCCACUCGACAGACUGCGCAAGCCUGCAACAGUUCAACUCCUGUGUGUUGGGGUAGGCGCCGUAGAAGCAACUGAGUAAACUGUGUAGACAACCACUGUGUAGACGAGAAAAGGUUAAGCCAGCGACAGAGUACUGAAACACAGUACCGAAAAAAGAUCAGCAACAACCAAAUAUUUAAAUGAAACAGAAAAAAAACUACAGCAAGUUUUAAAUAAUGUUAUUUUUUUCCGAUCAAGUUGAGUCAGGAUUGGCAAUGCCACCAGAAUUUAUAUCGCUUCUCUCAAUACCACUGAAAUUCUUAGGUUCACUUCAUUGCCACUCGAUAAAAUUUCACUUCCCUCCUAUGCCAUUUCCAUUAGCCGUCCGUUAGAAUAGGGUUAAGUGACGAGUGAAAUGACAAUUUUACCCUUAUAAUAGUUGCUGCUACGGUAGGUGGCGCGUCGCUCUUCCUUAACUGCUCGCCCACCUCCCUUCUUCCUCCCUUCCUCCAUAUCACACACCACC
rnacentral:lncRNA from 1 species